UUCCCACACAAUGCAAUCGAUAGUCCUGAACUAGAGCGACCCUCCAGGAGCCUGGGAGGCAGGGAGGGCCAGGGAUUCUGGGGUCUGCCGGGUCUGCGCCCCAAGGGGUGUAGGUCCUGCCUUGCCUGGAGAUGGCUGGCUUGUCUGCUGGGCUCUGCAAGUGGAGAAGUCUGGGGCCCACUGGAUCCCGGUCACAAAGCUGGCUGCCUGCUACUUGCUGGAGCUUUCAAAUGAAAUUUAGAAGAAUGCAAGUUUCUGAGGCGGGAGCCCCAGCACGUGAUCGGGGCGUGCUCUGCGGCAGGAGCUCGGUGAUCGAGGGCAGGAGAAUGCACGAACGGAGUCGCUUCUGCUGGCUAAUGGGCCGAGCCGUGGGACUGCGUGACCUCUGAGUGAUUGUCAGGUUCUGUCGUUCAAGGAGCAGACAGGCUCAGAGAGGACACAGGGCUUACCACCGUUCCACAGCCAGGAAGGGACGAGGUCUGAUCUUGGAACCAGCGCCUACCCAUUCUGACCGCCGCACCGCGCUAG